rnacentral:lncRNA from 1 species
GAUUCCACUCAACACAGCAGAGCCACUCCGUGCACCAUUUCUCGAUUGCCCAGGAAGAUUUUUCCUGAACAGCCUGAAAACCCAAGUGAGGCUGAAAGAUGCUGAGAGUGUCAACUUGAAGAUUAGGAAUAAUACACUUGCGCACACAGAGAGACACUAAGGGUGUGCACGCACAGAGAAAAGACCAUGCGAAGAGGCAACAAGAGGGCAGCCACCUGCAAGCCAAGAAGGAAAGACUUAGGAGAAACCAGGCCUGCUGAUGUCUUGUUCUUGGGCUUCUGGCUUCUAGAACUGUGCAAGAACUAGAUUCCUGUUGUUUAAAACCCCCUAGUUGUGGUACUUCAUCACAGCCGCCCUGGUAGACUAAACUUGUAUUUGUCUGUUCUCAUGCUGCUAAUAAAAACAUACCUGAGACUGGGUGAUUUGUAAA